GAGUUUGAUCCUGGCUCAGAACGAACGCUGGCGGCAUGCCUAACACAUGCAAGUCGAACGCUAUUUAUAGAGUGGCGCACGGGUGAGUAACGCGUGGGAACCUGCCUUUUUCUGCGGGAUAACGGUUGGAAACGGCCGCUAAUACCGCAUACGCCCUACGGGGGAAAGGUCCGCCGGAGAAAGAGGGGCCCGCGUCUGAUUAGCUAGUUGGUAGGGUAAUGGCCUACCAAGGCGACGAUCAGUAGCUGGUCUGAGAGGAUGAUCAGCCACACUGGGACUGAGACACGGCCCAGACUCCUACGGGAGGCAGCAGUGGGGAAUAUUGCGCAAUGGGCGAAAGCCUGACGCAGCCACGCCGCGUGCGGGAUGAAGGCUCUAGGGUUGUAAACCGCUUUAGGCAGGGAAGAAAAUGACGGUACCUGCAGAAUAAGGUCCGGCCAACUAUGUGCCAGCAGCCGCGGUAAUACAUAGGGACCGAGCGUUGUCCGGAUUUAUUGGGCGUAAAGAGCUCG
rnacentral:rRNA from 1 species